rnacentral:lncRNA from 1 species
CCUACAGAUGGCGGUGGUGCUCCGGGAGGGAUCCGACCCCUCCUCCGGGGCUCUCUAUGGGGCGGUGCGGCCGAAGCGGGUCGGCAGUGCGGGGUCGGAACCGCCGCGAUGUGAGCGCUGCCCCCGAGCCAUGGACCGGCAGAGAGCUCCAGGCCUCUCCUCCGUCUCCUCCUCUGAGUCAUCCCGGCUGUGCUCCCUGGGGUGCCCCACAGCUGCGGACCCCCUCCCGCCCCGUGGACUCCUCGUUUGACCCCGUGGCAGCGCCCCCAUCCCCACGGCACCCCCUCCUCGUGGCCCCGUGGUUGGGGGCUGUUUCCCCCCCCCCUCCCCACCGCUCCCCAACGCCCCCCAAACGCCGGAGGUUGGCGGGGGGUCACCGUGGAGGACGGCCCCACUGUGCCGCUAUGGGGCACGGAGCUGUGAGCGCAGCGGGGCGCC